CAGGUGCUGCAUGGCUGUCGUCAGCUCGUGUUGUGAAAUGUUGGGUUAAGUCCCGCAACGAGCGCAACCCUUAUCCUUUGUUGCCAGCGGUCCGGCCGGGAACUCAAAGGAGACUGCCAGUGAUAAACUGGAGGAAGGUGGGGAUGACGUCAAGUCAUCAUGGCCCUUACGACCAGGGCUACACACGUGCUACAAUGGCGCAUACAAAGAGAAGCGACCUCGCGAGAGCAAGCGGACCUCAUAAAGUGCGUCGUAGUCCGGAUUGGAGUCUGCAACUCGACUCCAUGAAGUCGGAAUCGCUAGUAAUCGUGGAUCAGAAUGCCACGGUGAAUACGUUCCCGGGCCUUGUACACACCGCCCGUCACACCAUGGGAGUGGGUUGCAAAAGAAGUAGGUAGCUUAACCUUCGGGAGGGCGCUUACCACUUUGUGAUUCAUGACUGGGGUGAAGUCGUAACAAGGUAACCGUAGGGGAACCUGCGGUUGGAUCACCUCCUU
rnacentral:rRNA from 2 species